AAAUCUCCACCACCUCCACCACCGGUUCACAAGUCUCCACCACCACCCCCAGAUUACAAGUCCCCGCCACCUCCUCCACCAGCCUACGAGCCUGCUCCGCCACCAACUCCAAUUUUCCCUUCUCCGCCACCUCCUGUCCCCAUCCCCAAGUUCACACCACCACCGCCUCACCCUUACGUCUAUGCAUCUCCCCCUCCUCCUCACUACUACUAGCAGAGCAAGAUAGCGAUCGAUCGAGCUGCCGCGUUUGAUUCUUUUUUAUCUUUUUUUUUUAAUGAAGAAUAAACAGCCACAUGUAGAAAGUAGAAACAGAAAAGUUCUUGUCAUUUUCAUGCUUGUGGAUUGUUGCUGUGUGUGUCAAUCGAAUCUCUGAUGCGUCUUUUGUAAUCUUCAGCUUUUAUGCAUGCAAAUGCGAGACCUUUUUCGUAUAAUAAAAUUAAUAUACUUCCCAAGUUGUUCUUAUCUUGCGUUGAACUUUAUGUUCCUUUGGUGAUGAUUGUGACGUUUAAAAUUGAUGACUAUUGGUUUUGUAAGCUCUACAUGGAUUUUUCGUGCAACUAUAGAGCACAUUGACGAGAGUCUUAUCCAUGAGGGUGUUGGGUAAAAAAUUCAGGUUUUUAAAUUUUUUAUAAAACCUUUUGAAGAUCGCUCUAAUAUAAUAUAUAAGAAUUUGUAAUCUAGAAAUCGUUCCUUGAAAAUCCAAUUUGGCUUUUUCCGUUGAAGUGAUUUAGGCUCCUAGAUCACUGUGUCAAUCGAAUCUCUGAUGCGUCUUUUGUAAUCUUCAGCUUUUAUGCAUGCAAAUGCGAGACCUUUUUCGUAUAAUAAAAUUAAUAUACUUCCCAAGUUGUUCUUAUCUUGCGUUGAACUUUAUGUUCCUUUGGUGAUGAUUGUGACGUUUAAAAUUGAUGACUAUUGGUUUUGUAAGCUCUACAUGGAUUUUUCGUGCAACUAUAGAGCACAUUGACGAGAGUCUUAUCCAUGAGGGUGUUGGGUAAAAAAUUCAGGUUUUUAAAUUUUUUAUAAAACCUUUUGAAGAUCGCUCUAAUAUAAUAUAUAAGAAUUUGUAAUCUAGAAAUCGUUCCUUGAAAAUCCAAUUUGGCUUUUUCCGUUGAAGUGAUUUAGGCUCCUAGAUCACGAUCCGCCACCACCACUCCUUUUGGAUCACGAUCCGUCACCACCACGCUUAUUAGAUCACGAACUGUCACCAAUCAUCUUCCAGGUUAUGACUCAGGUUUGAUCUGCACUUGACGUGUGGGCGCCUUUAUCACUACCAAAGCAACUAGCACGAGAAAAUUUUUCUCUCAACAAUAGAGAGAAAAAACUUUUUCUCUAAUCUGUAUAAAGUGGCUUUUCCAUUUUCUUUAGAGAAAAUAAGUCUUUUAUAUCUCCCUUUAGUGAAAACGCUAGGCUCCAAAAAUAAAAAAACAAAACUCACCUUAUUUGCUUUUUCUAUAGGGGACCCACCUUGUAAAAUAACAUAAGGCCCCUUACACAAAAGCUAAUUAAAUGGAGCCUCCNNNNNNNNNNNNNNNNNNNNNNNNNNNNNNNNNNNNNNNNNNNNNNNNNNNNNNNNNNNNNNNNNNNNNNNNNNNNNNNNNUACUCUGGCCAGAGAAUUCUAUGAUCAAGUGUCGAAAACCGAUCAAGAGAUGUGUUGUACAAAUUCUAUAUUGUUAAUCCAUAACUCCAAUACUCAUAAUUGCUCCCACCAAGAUACCGGGUAAUCUUGACCACAAGGAUGUGUCGUGCCCAUUGGUAACUCAAAUGGAAUAACAAUUACAAUCAUGAAAUCAUAAUUAACUCAAGAUUAAGAUUACAGUAAAAUCAAUGCCUAUGAGAUUUAAUAAGUUUUCCAGUUAUUACAAAGUUAAUUAAAUCUCAUAUGUGAUCUUGUUCAAUGUAGUCGUACUACAUCAAUAAAUUCAUACAUGAUUAAGAUAAAUCAUUCAAUGAAUUUAUUACAGUCUAUACCUAAAUAAAGUGCCAAGCUUUAUUUAUCAACUGCGAACUAAAUUUAUUUAAUCAUAAGAUAACUUGUAUUUAUGUCUUCUGUGAAUCCACAUGGUGAUCACAUAAAUACAUAUAAUAUGAUUAAAUGGACUUUAAUACAAAUAUUAAUGCAAUUAAGAUAUUUGAAUAAAAUACCUCAUUUAUUUUAUUAAUCAAAAAAAUUAUUUAUUACAAUUAAAUAAACACAUGUGCUUUUAAAGAGCAUAUUUUCCCAACAGAGGGUCCAUGCAGAUUAGUGUCUAUUAACCAAUAAUUAAUAUAACUUAAAAAAAUAUAGUUAAUCAGUCAUGCUCGAGUGCAAAUGUUGGUACAAAAUUUCGUGCCAAUGUGUACUUGAGUAGGAUUAUGAGUUUUAAUCAUUAUUAAUAAUUCACUUGAUAAUAUUAAACGAAUUUUCACAUCAAUUAAGUUAUAAUAUUGAUUACCUUAUAUAUUUACUGAUUUUGUAUUUAAAUUGAAUAAUAAUAGUUUUGGUUUUAUAGGGAAAAGGACUAACGCACACCAAAUGUUUACGGAAAUGGAUAUGAAAGUCCCUAACAUUUUGAAAAAGACUCUUAAACCCCAAAUUAUUAAUAAAUUCUAUUAAUUUUAAUAAAAAAAAUUAUUUUCAACUUAUAAUUACCAUUACCUCCCUAAAACAUACCAGUCAAUAUAUUAACUUGCCAUUUUGCCCAUAAUUUAUUAAUAAAAUUAUGAAUAUACCCAAAUUUAUAAGGGUUGAAAUGCAUGUACCAUAUCCAAUGUCCCUACAAAUUAGAAUAGGAGUUAAACACCGCACACAGAUACUGACAUUUUAAAAUGGAAUGGAGUUAUUACCUUAACUAAUCCUUAUGUAACAGAUUCCAAAAGCCUUUUAUUGCUACCAAUACCAAAUUAGUCCAAAUCUCCCUUUGUCUGGAGACCAAAUAAUACAGUAAGGCAAGCUUGAGGAUCAUCACGCAGCACAUCUCCAAUCAGCAUCGGAGCUCCAUUACUCUGUAUCCUAAACAGCACUUCACAAGUUAUUCCUGUUCACUCUUUCAGGACUAUCAGUAGGGCAGUAGUCUCCAUGUCUACGAUGGGAAGAUUGCCCUGGAGUUGGGAUGUUUUCAGGAAAUACAAACCCUAAAGAAGUGACCGGCCUUAAUCAAUUGUUGGUUCCAGGGAUAAUUAGGGUACAAAUGGCACGGCUUCAGGAGCGAUAGAUGGAUUAUAAAUGCAUUGGACCUCAUAAGGGCGAUCUUAAGCAGUCUUGGGAGUGGGACUAAAACUACGAUAGUGUUAGGCUUCAGAUGGUUGCUCUUGGCGAAGAUUACCCGGAGCAACAAAGGCAGGAUUGUCAAGUGCAACAUUCUUAGCUUGUCUUUGAUUGAGUCACUAACCGAAACCGUCGGAGUGUCAUUUUUAUCAGCAGGACCAUUCAGAAAUUCAUCCUCAAAUAUUUCCUUGAAUGAAAAGUAGCUUUGUCAAUGACUCAAUCAGCAGUGUCAAAAUCAAAGAAAUCACUUUCCCUUGUCUUAAAUUUUCUCCUCCAAGAAAGAUGAUCGAAAGGAGAAAUCUUCAUGCAUUUUUUCAGGAAAAAGUGUAUCAUCCGAGUAACCCCAGAGAAAGAAGAACUCAUCAUGGUUAGUUAAUGUUGUUGAUAAUUUCAUCUACUAGAAUCGACCAGAAAGCACUUAAUUCAUGACGAACCUAGAAGAAAGGUUAAAAAACAAUAUAACAAGCCGCCACUUAUAAAGAAGAGAGGUGGCAGGGAGAGGAAAUAACUAAUUCAGCAAGCGCAUAAGACAUAGAAGAUAAUAAUGUUACCUUUUGUAGGAUAACUAACUCAAAAGGAUAGGCCUUUGAAGAUCUAGUGACCUGCUUGCUUUCCAGCAAAACUUCCAUGCAUUCAAGCACUGAAUUUGACGUAAAGCCAAGAUUGUAGCCUCCUUCCAAUGCCAAAACAAUCUUGCCUUUAGCAAAAUCCAUCAACUGGAGAAAGAAAAUUACAGACGUGGAAUGCGCCAAAGAUUCGAAAGUCAACCCAAAAUCAGUAGCUUGCAAGAAAAGCCACAAGAUAAAUACAACAAAAUGCAAAUAUUGAACCAUUUCAUCUUGUUGUCAGCCUCAGAAAUUUAGCAUUCCCUCGAUUCUGUGUUCUACAAUUUGAAAUAUCAAUAUAAAAAUGCCAAAAUAUUAGAGUAAAGAGAAGAUAAAAUUUGAAUGCUACCCUUUUUUAAUAUAAUUGAGUAUCCAUAUGGUAUGACUCACCAAUCCCCUAAAGAAUCACCAGUGGCUGUUCUAAGCAUUGUGUUAGAAAGAUUUAUCGGAAAAAAAGAUUCAAAAAGAGCGAAAGUAGGCACUUUCCAUUUCACUCUAAAAAUGCAAUGUUACUCUAUUUGAUACAAAGAAAGCAACUUAUGGUAAGUUUACAAUACGGAAAAUCUAUGGAGAACGAAAAAAAAAAAAAUUCUUGACAAGCAUACUGCUAAAAAAGCUUCUUGACAAGCAUACUGCUAAAAAAGCUAUGGAGAACGAAAAAAAAAAAAAUUCUUGACAAGCAUACUGCUAAAAAAGCUGAAUUUAACAUCUUGCUGAGUAAAAUCCCAAUGUAUGUCAAUUAAUAAAAGGGCCAUGAGAACUUUUCCGGAUUUUAUUAUUUUCAACCAUAAGCAACAAGGUUUAAAACCUGCUCAAGCAUGAAUUUUCCAACCGCUGUCGAUUUUGAUAAUAUUAGAUAUAUUGAGAACCAGAAUUAAAAAAAAAAACCUUAAACUAAUCUAAAAUAAAUAAAUAUAUUCAUUAUUACAAGACAUAAUAAAACAUUGCUGUCUGUUAGAGUGCAAUUUAUGCACUAGUUUUGCAUUGUUUACUUCCCUUAAUAUCGAUGUUUUGCACUUAAUAAUAAUGAUUUACUUGUGUUUUACUUUUGUAUGUGCAAUUCUAUUGAUUGGUGAUAAAAUUGAGCUAUAAGAUGAUGUUUAAGGAUGAUUGUUCUCUUGGAGAAAUUAUGAGCGUCAGAAGAACUUUGUUGAUAAGGCGUGGGCGCGUGCUGUCAACUACGGACCUACAAUUUUUAGUUUAACGUGUUUUGUAUUUUUAGUUAUUUUUGUAAUUACGAAUUUAAUAUUUCAGAUAUUAGUAUUUUAUUUUAAAUAGAAUUCUAGAGGAGAAGAGAGAGAGAGUAUUUAAGAGAGGAAUCUAUUGUGAAAAAUGGGACUUUUGGAGAAGAGAAAAAAAAACCCUAGAUCUAAACUUUUCUCUUCUCUCUAUGAAGAACUAAACCUAUUUUUCUGGUUGAAGGAUAAUGAAGCUUUGAUUCAUCACUACUGUAAGAUCUUUCUUAUGCUUUAAUUGUUUUAUUACUUUUUGGGUAUUUGUUUAUUCUCUAAAUUAUUUUCAUGAUUAUGUUUGUUAAUUAGGUAAUUGGCCACUAUUUAAUUAUCAACUUAAUCUAUUGUCAAUUAAAGGAUUCAUCGUAUGAAGAAUUUAAUGUUUGUGACAAAUAACAUAGCAGAGAGUUGUGUUGUGAGAAGAAACAAUCUAAUUUAAAUGAAUCAUCAUAUGUGUUGAUUAGGAUUUGGGUCUCCUGCUGUACGGCCAAGGCGGAUGUACGGUACAGCAGANNNNNNNNNNNNNNNNNNNNNNNNNNNNNNNNNNNNNNNNNNNNNNNNNNNNNNNNNNNNNNNNNNNNNNNNNNNNNNNNNNNNNNNNNNNNNNNNNNNNNNNNNNNNNNNNNNNNNNNNNNCCCCCAUUUUAUGUUUUACGUUUCAAAAGGAUUUAAAUAAUUACCGAUCUCUGUGGACACGACCCUGCUCAAUCACUAUACAUAAUUUAUUUAGAGUAGGAAUUUAUUUUUGUUGGCUUCGACACCCAUCAAAUUUUGGCGCCAUUGCCGGGGAUUGGUGUCAUUUAUUUAAUCUUUUUUACGUUUUACUUGGUGUAUGGUUCGUUCUUCUCGUACAGGUACACUUUCAUUUGAUCCUGAAAUUGAGAAGAUAGCUUGCCAGCUGAGACAGCAGACGAAGCCAGCUAAGCAACGAUCCUCGUCGCCUUUGCUUUCUGAAACAGAUACAGUGCCUGAUUUAGUUGAAUCAUCUAACGAUUCAGAAGAACAAUUGAUUGAUAGACCUGCACCUGUAGAAAGAACUCUUAGAGAGUUAGCUGAACCAGACUUGAAUCAACAACCACUCUGCAUUCAAUAUGUAGACUUGGAGGUAAAUUUUGAAUUAAAGUCUGGUCUUAUUCAUUUAUUACCCAAGUUUCAUGGUUUUGCAGGUGAAGAUCCUCAUAAACAUCUUAAGGAGUUUCAUGUUGUCUGUUCAAGUAUAAGACCAUAAGGAGUGACUGAAGAGCAGAUUAAGCUGCGUGCUUUUCCGUUCUCUGUAGAUGGGCUAGCUAAAGACUGGUUGUAUUACUUGCCUCCUGGAUCGAUUACAACAUGGAAUGGUUUGAAGAAGCAGUUCCUCGAGAAGUACUUUCCUGCUUCAAGAGCUGCCAACAUCAGAAAAGACAUUUGUGGGAUCAGAGAACUUCCUGGGGAGACUUUGUAUGAGUAUUGGGAGCGAUUCAAACAAUUGUGUGCCAUUGUCCUCAGCAUCAAAUUUCUGAUCAACUUCUUAUUCAAUAUUUUUACGAAGGACUGUCAUUGAUGGAUAGGAGUAUGAUAGAUGCUGCUAGUGGAGGCGUGUUGGUGAACAAGACCCCUACUCAAGCAAGGGAGUUGAUCUCAAAUAUGGCUGCCAAUGCACAACAAUUUGGCAGCAGACAAGAUGCCACCUUAAGGAAUGUGAAUGAGGUAAAUAUUUCUUCUGUUGAACAACGUUUAGAUAAACUUACUUCUCUUGUGGAAAAGUUUGUUGUAGGUAAUGUGCAACAUGUGAAGACUUGUGGCAUUUAUUCCAAUAUGGGUCAUUCAACUGAUAUGUGUCCUACACUUCAAGAAGAACCCGCUGAAUAAGCCAAUGCAGUUGGAGGAUUUCCAGGCAUGCCUCAGAGGAGGUAUGAUCCUUAUGCAUAAACAUACAAUCCGGGAUUGAAGGAUCAUCCCAACUUCAGCUAUGGAGUUAGGCCGUCAGGAUUCCCACAACAGUAUCCACCAAGACAACCAGCACCUCCACAGUCAAACUCCAAGUCAGGUAUAUCUCUUGAAGAAAUUGUUAAAUCACUUGCGACUAACACUCAACAAUUUCAGCAGGCGACUACAGCAAGCAUUUAGAAUUUAGAGAACCAAAUGAGUCAAUUGGCGACUACAGUGAGCCGUCUGGAGUCUCAAGUAUUAGGGAGAUUGCCUUCACAAUCUGAGGUGAAUCCAAAGCAAAACGUUAGUGCUGUCAUCCUUAGAAGUGGGAAGGAGUUGCAAGAGCCUAGUAAGAAAGUGACAAAGCAUGUAGAAGAUGAGCUUGAGAAGAAUGAAUUGAUGCCUAAAUCUCAAGAUGCGCAACCCACCAGAGCGAAACCCCUACCUAUUGUGAUACCUCCUCAUUUUCCAAGCCGGUUUGCAAAAUCCAAGAAGAAGGAACAAGAGAAAGACAUCCUUGAGACAUUUCGCAAGGUUGAGGUAAAUAUUCCUUUAUUAGAUGCUAUAAAAAAAAUACCUUGAUAUGCUAAAGUCCUUAGGGAACUAUACACCUCUAAGAGAAAAUUAAGAGGAGAUGAAAAAGUUCACAUGGGGGAGAAUGUUUCAGCAGUUCUCCAAAAGAAAGUACCUCCUAAGUGCAAGGAUCCAGGUAUGUUUACUAUCCCUUGUAAAAUUGGUAGUGUUAGAAUUGAAAAGGCUUUGUUAGAUUUAGGAGCUUCUAUUAAUGUCAUGCCUCGUUCCAUUUAUUCAUCUUUGAAUGUUGGUCCAUUAAAUGAAACUGGCGUGAUAAUUCAACUAGCUGAUAGGUCUAAUGCAUAUCCUGAUGGGGUAUUAGAAGAUGUCUUAGUACAAGUUAAUGAGUUGGUUUUUCCAAUUGAUUUUUAUGUACUUGAUAUGGAAAAGGAUAACUCCUCCAAUUUUGUACCAAUUUUUCUAGGAAAACAUUUUUUUAAGACUGCUAUGACUAAAAUGGAUGUACAUAAAGGGACUCUCACUAUGGAGUUUGAUGGAGAGGUUAUAGAAUUCAAUAUGAAUGAUGCCAUGAAAUAUCCUAGUGAGGAACAUUCGGUAUUUUCUGUGGAUGUUAUUAACCCUAUAGUGCAGGAAGUUAUUUACAAGGAAAAAACGAAGACAUUUCAUGAUAGAAUGAUUUUGAGAAAGGAGUUCUGCUGUACCGUACAUCCGCCUUGGCCGUACAGCAGUUUGGUUUAACCUAAUUUAUAAUAUAAAAAAGAAAGGUGCACCACAUAGAGGGGCGGCAAGGAAAUUAUCAUUAGACUAAUUAGAAGGAACGAAGAAGAAGAAGAUCAGAAUUGAAGAGUGUUGUUUCGGCAACAUUGGCGAAUCGUGCAGAAUUACUUGGCUUUGAUUUUCACCGUGCUCAACUUAUAUUUAUCUUCUUCCUUUAAUUGAUUUGAUGUAUUCUGAGACCAAUAUGUUUAUGGUUAUUUCUCUCAUCCAGAUUAUGAACUAAAUUUACUUGUAGUUGAGUGACAAAUAAUCCAAUGGGUUCUUGACUGUUCUUAUAUGUUGUUAUGGUAUUGCUGUAGCAUUUUACUCUAAUAGCUUUUAUGAAUAUAACUGUUAUUUCAGUUGACCACCCAUUUAAUGGUUUCAGUUAAGAUAGAGCAGCAAAAUGGCAUGUCUUAGCGGACAUUAUUAGAGUAUUACUUGUUCUUAAGUCGAGUUUCCUGGAUUAGGUUAUCUUGAAUCCCAUAAGGGCAAUACUUGAAGUUAAGAUAUGUGACACUCUAGACAUAGGUGUUCACCUUGUAGGGUAGANNNNNNNNNNNNNNNNNNNNNNNNNNNNNNNNNNNNNNNNNNNNNNNNNNNNNNNNNNNNNNNNNNNNNNNNNNNNNNNNNNNNNNNNNNNNNNNNNNNNNNNNNNNNNNNNNNNNNNNNNNNNNNNNNNNNNNNNNNNNNNNNNNNNNNNNNNNNNNNNNNNNNNNNNNNNNNNNNNNNNNNNNNNNNNNUAUAUAUAUAUAUAUAUAUAUAUAUAUAUAUAUAUUAUUUAUUUAUUUAAAAAAAAUGAAAAAAAACAAAAAACAAAAAUCACAAAUCACUGUUCACUGUUCACAAAUCCCUAAUUCAAAAAAAAAAAUUUCACUGUUGAUUAUCGUUUUCACUCGCACGCAACCAGCAGUGCGCAACCAGCCCCAACCCGCGCAGCAAGCUCCAGCUGAGCAGCAACGCAGCGCAGAUCCAGCCUACGCCCUGUAUUCCAACCGGGUAAAUCGAAAUCCGUGAGUGCAAUUAUUGUAAUAAUGCCGAAAAGGAAAGCAUCUACUUCCAAGUCAUCUAAAAAGACAUCCGUCGUAAAGAAAUCUAAGAUUGCCGCUCCCACUACGGUUCCAUGGAACACAAUUUCAGAUUCAUGCCAAGCCGUGAGACAAAGAUCGAAACAUGGAAAAGGCAUGAGUGUUUUGCCACUUGCGGAAUCCAAUCUCGAAGGGUGCCUCGCAUUCGCGACUCAACAAGAGAAAGAGAAGAGGCGAGAUUUCAGUUUACUGAACCAGGACCCACUCAACCUCCAUAGAAGCUCUAUGCUAGGAGUGGUGCUACCUCUGAUGACGAGUUUGACGACGACACUGCUGCCCCGCCGACUAUUCCUUCUACAUCCGCACCACCUUUGAGCAUUCAGUUAGAGAAAAUGGAGCACAAGCUGAACAAGAUGGAGCAGAAUUUGGCUUAAAUGAUUUUGGAGUUAGUAUGCUUCAUAUAUUAUUAUUUUUCUUUUCCUUUCUCUCUCACAACUCUUUUCCCAUCCAUCUCAAAUUAUUUACAUCUAUUUUUAUUCUAUCAUACUCUUUCAUCAAUCACAUUUUAUCUUUCACUUUUCAUAUUACUACGUACAUUUUUCUCACUUCUUAUCAUUUUUACCUUUCCUUUUAUAUAUCACUCAUACCUUCUUCUCAUUCUAUACCACUAUUGAUGGUUGAUUCAUUUGAAGACUGUACAUGAUUUGAUGGCAAAUUUACAAACUUUGUGAGGAUUUGAGCCUAUGAGCAACCACUUUGCUCUAAUAUUUUUGUUAUGUGAAUAUCAAUCUUAGUUUGUUUAUUCUAGAACUUGCUUUGUUAUGCAUGUUGAAGCCACAUUACGGGAUUUUAUGCAUUAAAAUGAUAAGGGCAAACCAUUUUCUAUUUUUCUAUUCUCACAUUUUUUUUUUCUCUACCCGAAGACCUUUAUUUGCUACCUUUGUUUGGGCCUUAACCAUUACCCAUCUAAUUCUCUCCGUCUACUUAACCAUUUUUCUUCUUUUUGAGCCUUAAUUUAAGGAGAUUUUUGGACUCAUUGUGUGGAUAAAUUUUGUAUAUAUUUUGUUGUUUUUUCUACCUUGUAUUAAAGUUUCUCAAUUAGAUCAACAAGCAUUAUGCUUGAAUUAAAUUGUGCAAGGUUCAUUUCUUUUGUUUGAUUAAAAAAAAAAAGGAAAAAAAAGAAAAAGAAAAAAAAGGAAAAAGAAAAAUCGAAAAAAAAAUCGAAAAAAAAGAAAAAAAAAAGAAGAAAAAAAAAUGUUUACAUUCUUGGUGACUUGAGUAGAAAUAAGCGUUUCGAUAUCAUAAGGUUCAUUCAAUGAGUUCAUUCUUCUCAUUUUGAUCUCUUUUUCUUUCAUAGACCUUUCUUUUUCAUUUAACCUAUUUAACCCCAUUACAACCCUUUUAAGACCCUUAGAUUUUUGCAUUUUAUUCAUGUUUUGUGGAUUGAGAUGUGAUAUAUGAGCAAGCUUAUGGUAAUAGCAUUCUUUGAUUUGAUUUGAGUGAAUAAAUGACACCCUAAACACUUUGAGUGCAUGGAGUGAAGUCAAUGAGAGGGCUAUUAAAUCUUGUUGCACUUGAAUUUUGAAUGGAUCUUCUUGGUGGUUGAAUGUUCUUAUUCUAUCUUAUGAAAUUCUAUGCUUUAAAAUCCUUGUCUCUCGAAUGUUGAUCGACUUAAUUUCUUGAGGUAUACUUGCUUAAAAUUUGCUUGCUUAAAAUUGUUUUGGGAUGAGUUGAGAUGAGAAUUGAGUAGAGAUUUGGGAUUAGUCUUGAGAUAUAUGCUUGAGGACAAGCAUCAUCUUGGUGUGGGGGAAUUUGUUAGAGUGCAAUUUAUGCACUAGUUUUGCAUUGUUUACUUCCCUUAAUAUCGAUGUUUUGCACUUAAUAAUAAUGUUUUACUUGUGUUUUACUUUUGUAGGUGCAAUUCUAUGACUUUGUUGAUAAGGCGUGCGCGCGUGCUGUCAACUACGGACCUACAGUUUUUAGUUUAACGUGUUUUGUAUUUUUGGUUAUUUUUGUAAUUACGAAUUUAAUAUUUCAGAUAUUAGUAUUUUAUUUUAAAUAGAAUUCUAGAGGAGAAGAGAGAGAGAGUAUUUAAGAGAGGAAUCUAUUGUGAAAAAAGGGACUUUUGGAGAAGAGAAAAAAAACCCUAGAUCUAAACUUUUCUCUUCUCUCUAUGAAGAACUAAACCUAUUUUUCUGGUUGAAGGAUAAUGAAGCUUUGAUUCAUCACUACUGUGAGAUCUUUUUUGUGCUUUAAUUGUUUUAUUGCUUUUUGGGUAUUUGUUUAUUCUCUGAAUUAUUUUCAUGAUUAUGUUUGUUAAUUAGGUAAUUGGCCACUAUUUAAUUAUCAACUUAAUCUAUUGUCAAUUGAAGGAUUCAUCGUAUGAAGAAUUUAAUGUUUGUGACAAAUGACAUAGCAGAGAGUUGUGUUGUGAGAAUAAAUAAUCUAAUUUAAAUGAAUCAUCAUAUGUGUUGAUUAGGAUUUGGGUCUCUCUGGUUUUUAAGGCUGUCAAUUGAUUAAAUCCUAUGAUCGUAUCUAGGGUUGUCUAUUGAUUAGGGAAAUAUCCAACGGUCGUACCUUGGUUAUCGACUAGUUAAGGAGAGAUUGGCUAUUAGAGGGUCUCAGUAGCUAUAACCAGUCUAUUCAUAAGUAAUAAUAAUCUAUAUUUGAAUCAAUGAUCAGUAGUCGAAUCAAGCUGAAUUAAUUCCUUCAACCAGAGCUUUCUCCAAUUUGAAUUACAACUUUAAUUUGCAUUCUUGUUAUUUUAAUUUGAUUUUUAUUAUUGUCAACAAUUCCCCCAUUUUACCUUUUAUGUUUCAAAAGGAUUUAAAUAAUUACUGAUCUCUGUGGACACGACCCUGCUCAAUCACUAUACAUAAUUUAUUUAGAGUAGGAAUUUAUUUUUGUUGGCUUCGACAACCAUCACUGUCAAAGCUCAGGAAUGUACAAUAACCAAGGAGACAUUUCAAGGUCACAUUUGUUUUAAGCAACUUUUCAUUGUUAACCAAAAGAAGCUAGAAAAUGAUUUCAAAGGAUAUCGACAAUCUUCUUAAGAGAACAAUAAUUUGAGAUUUUUGCAUUGUAAUUAUUAGCUGGAUAAAAUUUGCUUUGCACAUUAACCGAAUUUGGCCAACAAUCAUUUCUUUUUCAACUUCAAUUUUUAUUCAUGAGUACACUAUCAUAAAAUUAGCUAAACUUCCCAAGACAAACAAAAAGAGUUAGAUGGAGUAUACCACACUUUCUAAGUAUCUAUCUAGUGAGCUAGUACUUUCAUCAAACGCUUUAUUGAAUCUUCAGUAUUGAUGCAGGACGUUGCUUUGACAAUCUGUGUGAGAAAAUGCAUGAGGUUCCUUGGAGGACAAGACAAGCAUUAAAGAUGAUGAGGUUAUUGAUUUAUUUGAGAUUUUUAAAGAAAAACAAAGUAUUCUUGAUUUGCGCAUUGAGUCUAACAAUAAGUUUGAGGUAGUGCAACAAAAUCAAGUUGAAGAAGCUGAAAUGAUUGAAAUGGUCCCGCCUAUUCACAUUGAAGAGAAGAAGGUUGUACUUGAAGAAGAUUUGAUUGAAAAAGUGAAAUUCGUUCAAGAGCACAUUGAGCGACGAUUAGGGAAGAGUAAGAGUUAUUUGAUCAUUGUUCGUUCUUAGAAGUCUUCAUCAUCUUCGAGAAUGUAUAAGCCAAGGAAUCAUUGAUUCCUCAAAAUUUCGAGAAAGAUUGAUGAGAAAGACUAGAAGUUCGAUUUACAAGAUGAUUUGGUCUUGCAUUACAAGUUUCACCCUCCAAAUUAUAUUCAAACUCGAGGACGAGUUUCUUUUAAGAGGUGGAGAAUGAUGUAGGACAUUAUUUUAAGAUCAUAGAAUUUUAUUAUUAUAGGAUUUUAUAUUUUAGUUAGAGUAAAUUAUGGUAUGUGUCUUAGUCUUUGAUUUCCAUUAUAAUUGUUAUUUAGUUUCCCUUUUCAGUUAACUUAAAGAAGUAUGUUUACUUUAUUAUAAAUAGAGGUCUUAUUAUUAUAAGUUUAGGUUCAAUUAUUCAAUAAAACCCCUCGUUUAUAAUUCUCAUUGGGAUUAGCUAUCAAAAUUUCUCUCACAGAGUAGUUUAGAUUCGAGGGUUAUCUGAUCUCGCUUUGUGCAUUAUUAAAAUCUCAUUGAAUCCUUUGGAUUAGAACAAGAUAUAAUCACAAUUCGGUUAGAGUGUAAACUAAUCAUUUUUUCUAAAUCAGGUACUAGAAUGAUAUUUAGUGUUUCCUACCCUAUCAAUUUUGUUUCUACUAUGCCCACUUCGUUAAAUAUACCAAAAAUAGUAAUUGUAAAAUUUUAUUUGAUGAGUAAGAUAUUUAAGGUAGCAUUUACUUUUCGGAUUGGAUUGAGAAUCCUAAGCAGUAGGAAUCUUGGAUUGGUAGUCAAAAUAUCAUGCAUAAUAGUUCUUUAUGAAAUAUACAUUAACCAUUGAAAUUGCCACCAAGAUUAGAUUUCUAUGAUGGCACUUGAUUAAUAUACAUUUUAAAAUUUGGAAUGGAAACAGCAAGGCAUCCUAACAGAGCCUCAUAAUUAGAAAUAAACCACAUAACUUGCAUCGAAUCUGAUGGAUACUGAAAUUAUAUUAGGAUCAAUUUCCAUGGUAACAGGAAGUAAAAUAUGAUCUCAAACUAUAAGAUAGUCCUCAUUUCCACAUAACACAUUCUCCCACAAGACAUUAAUGUUGUAACAUCAGGUCCUUCCCCAAUUUUCAUUUUUAGGAUAAAAAGUCCCAAAAAUACCUGUAUAAAAGACAAACUUCUUACAGUCAAAAUGCCUUAUAGAAGAAUAUUGAAUAGAAGAGUUUAAAAGUAAAGCCUUUCAGUAGAAAAAGAGAGAUUUAAUAAAUUAAAAACAAAAUGAAGACUUUUAUGCUGCCAGCAUUAUCCUGAGAAGCAUUGACAAUCAUUUUACAAAAAAUGUUCCUAGAAAAUAAGAUUUCAGCAUUAUCCUGAGAGGUAACCAAAUGAGUCUUGCGAUACUCACAAAGAGCAAAAGACUACAUGCUCACAUACCGGAGGUCGCAUUACCUUGAGAUCAUUGGGUAUACUGACUAUGAUUUUGCUGGAUGCCAAUAUAGUAUGAAAUCCACUUCGGGUUACAUCUAUCUACUAGUUGGGGGUGCUAUCUCCUGGAAGAGUGUUAAACAAUUUCUUAUAACCUCUUAUACGAUGACAGCAGAGUUCAUAAAAUGUUACGAGGCAUCCAAUCGCGAAAUAUGGCUACAGAACUUUGUUACAGGGCUACGUAUUGUAGAUAGUGCUGAUAGACCACUCAAAUUAUUUUGUGACAAUAAGUCAGCAGUUUUGUAUUCCAAUAACAACAGGAGCUCAACGAAGUCAAAGUACAUAGACAUCAAGUUCCUAGUUGUUAAAAAAACAGUUCAGAGUGGACAAUUAUCUAUAGAGCACAUCAACACAGACUCCAUGAUUGUAGAUCCGCUUACGAAUGGAUUGCCACCCAAGAUGUUUGAUGAGCACACUGCUCAUAUGGGCGUCCUGUCAGUAAAGGAUAUUUAGUUUUAGUGGGAGUUUGUGACUUUAGAUGCUCUUAUAAUUUAGAAAUUUUUCAGUUAUUUCAUUUUAUGGAUAUUUUGGGUUAUUUUCUAUAGAAAUAAAGUUUUGGUUUAUUCAUACUCUAAUUUUAGUAUGGUUUGAUGUCACUAAGAUUUAAGGUAGACUAGUUGGAAAUAAGCAUGUUAAGAUCACAUUGCAUGAAAUUUCCAUGCUACAAAUCCACAUUAUGAACCAUGUUAUUCAGUUGUAUUGGCAUAGUGACCAUUGAUAGGUUGAGUUACGAUAGUUGUAAUGAAGACCGCUUUGAUCCUGUGUUGGUAUGAUUGAUGGACCAAAUUGAUAAUAGAUACAUUUCGAUGAUGAUAGUAAGGUUGAGCUCAUAGGUUAUUUAAAAAAGUAUAAUUAUAAGUUUAAGUAUAUAGCCCAAGUGGAGAUUGUUGGAUCUUUAAUCCAAUGUUGGGAUUAUAUAUGAAUAAUUAUGUGUUACGGACUGUCAUAUAAAGUUAAGCCAAAUUAAAAGUGAUCCAUUAAGGUUUUCAGUAAUUUGGGUUUUACUGUAUCUGAUAGGAUGUGGGCUUUUAAUGUGUAGAGAUCUAAUGGUAUUCUAAUUCUAUAAUGGGUAGAAUUCAGAAUAUCUAAUGACAACAUGAAAAAGUUGUCUAUAUAAGUGGUUAUGGUCCGGAGAGAGAGAGGGCAUAGAGAAAAUUAAAGGAUUCUCUAAGAGAACGUGUUUAUCUAGGAGACCAACUACACAACUCUAUAGAGUAAGUCAACGUUGUGGAUUCAAGUACGCUUCUGCAUAAUUUCUUAUUGAUUCUUAGUGAUAAAAUAUGAAAAUUCAUAGUUUAUAGGUGAUAAUUUGCACCAAAAAUUUUCUUGUUCUAACAUGUUUCAAGUAGCUCUUAUGCGAUUUGGAUUCUCGGGGUGAUCACCACCAUCAGGUGUGUGAUGUUUGCAUUUUGAUUUAUUGUUAUUUUUAUUAUCAAUAUUAUUACUUUUUUUACUUGAGAUUACCUUAAAAAAAUUAUGGAAAUUACUAUCAUUAUUAUUGUUAUUGAUUCAUCCUAAUUUGUUAUUUUAGUUAACAUCUAAAAUUGAAAAAGCAUAGCAUCAUCUUGGUAUUUAUUUUAUGCAAAUAGGAUUUAUAGAUAAUUAAUAAGAGAGAUUUUAAUUAUUAAGUGUUUAAAGUUAGUUAAAUACAAAAUAAUUGAUCAUACUAUUAGUUUGCAUUGUCUUAUUGUUAUCGGUACGGUCAAAUUCUUUAUUUUUUAAAAAUUUUUUUGCCCCCUAAUCCCUGUUGUUUGGGUAGGGCAAAGUAGUUUACUCUUCUAACAACUGCAGUAAGAACAUAUUGCUCUCAAUGAUAGAUCUAAUUAAUGCAGGCAUGCAGUUUCAUAAUCUCGGUGAAAUAAUUUUUGGGAAAAGGACAAACUAAAACCCAUAGCAUAAUGAUUUUAGAGAGACCACGAAGCUCACGGAUCAGGAUUCUCUUCUGAUCUGAUCUCCUCCUGAGUAAACAUACAUGUGGUGAUUGUUAGUUAAUAAAAUAAAGAAAAUAAAGAAGUUAAAUUCUAUCAAUACACUAUCACUUAAAGACACAUGACACAAGAUCUUUAAAUCUCUUCUGAUCUGAUCUCCUCCUGAGUAAACAUACAUGUGAUGAUUGUUAGUUAAUAAAAUAAAGAAAAUAAAAAAGUUAAAUCCUAUCCAUACACUAUCACUUAAAGAUACAUGACACAAUAUCUUUAAAAGCUUAUGAGAGCUCAGAUCAAAAGAGGAUUUUUUUCCCGAAGUUCACAAACUAACUCUCCAACCCCACAUAAACUAGAAUAUCUAUAAAUUAAUUGUGCUGGGAUCAUAUAAAAUAUAUUAAUUAAAAGAGAAAUUAAAUAUCGAUAAGUUAAUAAUUUAAUAAUUUAUAGAGUUAUUUAUAAUUCAAUUAACAUACAUCAACAACACAUUAUAAUUUCUCAUUACAAUUCGAGAAAUCAACCCCAAAACUUUUAGAUGCAAUCAGAAAAAUAAGAGAUGAGAUUCAACUAGAUUUAAAUUAGACAAAAAAAGUAACAAUAAAGUCAUGUUUUGAGCAACAAGUAAAUAAGUUUGCUAUAAACAUACAUGGAAAACUUCAAGAAAAUUAAAGUACAGAAAAUAAAAAAUAAUAUGAAGAAUUAUUCAUUGUAAUUCAAGAUCAAAAUAAAAUCCUCCAGGACACAAUAGUUCAAUGAAAAGAAAAAUAAUGAAAUUCGGUCCAUAUCAAGACCAAUAUUAAAAAAAAUUGAAGGAAACAAAAAAUUAAUAAGCUUAAGAAUGAUAAGUGAAAAUCCAAACAAUGAAUUAAAAGAGCUAUCUGAUAGAAAUGAAGAAUCUAAAAGAGAUGAAAAUGAAGAUGUAUCCAUUAAUUUACAAGAUAUAAAAAAUAGAAUAGAACAUCUAAAGAUGAAUGAGGCAAAGCCCGGAAUUUAUGAAUAAGGCGAAUCUAGCAAUACAACACCUUAUGCUAGAGAAGAGAUAUCAACUUAUGAAGGACCAUAGAGUCGAUAUUUUAGGUCUAACAAACCUAAAAAGGAAUAUAAAACUCCAGGAGAGUAUAGAGAAACACCAAUCAGCCAUGAUGACGUUUGGUUGGAUUUAGAUUGCUCUAAGAAUACAUAUAAAAUAAUAUUAAUCCCUUAGGUUAAAUCUAUGAAAAUUGCUCUUGCAUUUCGCAAUCUAGAUAGAAAAGACAGUAUAGAAUUUUUAAAACUUUGUUUAUAAAAAUAGUUGCACAAUGGCACAUGGGACUCAAACAAGAAAAUAAAGAUAAAAUAUUAUGUGUAGAAAAUCCUAGGCUAAAUGAACUUUAAGAACAAAUUUCAUGUGGAUUUAAAAGUGAAAUAAGAAAAGCAUUAUUAGGAGAAAGCUGAUUUUCAACAAGAAAUGAAGAGAAAAAGAACAGAAAAUGUAAUGAAGCUAAUUAGACUUGAAAUAUGUGAUAUAUGUUACUUAGUGAUUAGUGUUAAAAAUUGUAUGUUUAUUAAGGGGUAAAAAUGUUAUUUUGUGCUAUUAAUGUAAUUUAUAUUUGUAAUUGUGUAACAUAUUGUGAAUUUCUAAUUAUUUUUCGAAGUAUUUGAUUUUGUGUAUUUUUGUGUGUUUAUUAGGCAAAAAUAAUAAUUUCAUGCAAUUUGAAGCUUCAAAAAAAUGUACGAAUAUCAAAUUUGGAUUCAGGAAGUCUGAGAAAUUAUGUCAUUGUCGAGGGGGAGCCGAGACGUUUGUUGUAAAUUUUUACGUUUUUACCACGGUAAAUGUGGUAAUUGUAAAAUUAUAAGUUUUUAUCAUGUUAUGUAUGGUAAUUGUUAGUGGAAUGUGUUGGAUAUACUUGAGUGGAUUAAGUUAGGUUUAUGUUUUAUUAGUGGGAUUAUUAGUGGGACAAAUGUAAGGUUAAGAUGUAAUUAGAUUUUUUUAUUUGUGUGGUGUGGAUUUACCAUGUAUUAGUAUAAAUAGAGAGGGGGUGAACACACCUCUUCACACCUUCUCUUCUCUUCUUUCCCCCCAAAUUCUUCUUCUCAUCUCUCUUUGUAAUAUAUUUUCAAUUAAUUAAAUUAGUUUUAUUCCAAUUUUUCAAAUUCCAAUUUUUUUAAUUAUGUGUUUUUCAAUUUUAAUAAUUUCCUUUAUGUUUAACUAAAUAUUCAUAGUUAGGGGAAGGUGAAACUCUUAGUAAGAAAAUAUGGUUUAAUCAAAUUGUAUUUUUAAUUUUAUAAAUUAAAUUAUUUUCUAUUUAAUUUUAUCCAUAUUUUAUAUUUUGAAAUUUUGAUUUAGUGUAGACAAAAAUAGGAAUUUGGCACAAUAAAUCCUUAAUAUCUUAAGGCGGAUGUACGGUACAGCAGAUGAAUUUGGCACAAUAAAUCCUUAAUAUCUUAGUAUAAAAUAUGGAAAAAAUGGUAUUUUGAUUUAGUGUAGACAAAUUAAGUUUUGGCACAUUAAAUUCUUAAUCCACAAUAAAAUAAAUGGGAAAAUAAUUUUAAUUUAUAUAAUUAAUCUUUUGAGAAAUAAAAUAAAAAUAAAAAGAAUUUGUUAAAUUGUAUUUAUUACUAAGAGUAGAUCCAUAACCCUAACUAAUUCAAUUUUAUACUUUUUCUUAAAUAAAUUACAUAUUUUUAAAUUUUAUUUUUAUUUGGAUAUACUUAAGUAAACAAAUUAAAUCUUUUCUCUGUGGAUCGACCUCGGACUCACCGAGUUAUAAUAUAACAAGAUACUCUUAUACUUUGGAGUAAAUCAAACAUUUUUAAGUUGUCACUUAGAAGCAUACGCUUGUCGCUUUGAAAAACUAUAUUAUAAAUGUGAAUUUGAAACUGAUGAAAAUACAGCAGGAUAUUAUAAUGAUCUAUAUUUUAUGAGAAUACCAUAUCCAUGAGGUAAAAAGAUUAUGCUAGAAUACAACCAAGAAUAUAGAUAUAGUAUAGACACUAAUACACUUGGAUAUAGAAUUAGGUUUGCAUGAAAUAGGAUAAAUUUGUUGUGUACUAAAAUAAAAGAUAAAAGAUUAAUGAAAAUGCAAAAUCGAGGACUAUGUUGUUCUAAAUUAGAAGAACCUCCAAGAUUUGGAUGUUCAAAUAAAAGCUAUAAACAUAGGAAAAGUUCAAAAAGAAUAAAUUCUUUAAAACCAAUAAAAAAUAUUAAAAAAAUAAAUAUAAAAGAAAAAAUUUCAAGAAAAAUAAAUGCAAUGGAAAAUCUAAAACAAACACACUCGAAAAGUGUAAAUGUUGGUUAUGUAAUGAAGAAGAGAAUUAUGCAAACGAAUGUCCAAAGAAACAGAAAGCAAACAUUAAAACUUUUGGAAAUUUUAAUGAAAUAGAAUUAAUAACUAACUGUGAAAAUAUUAGUGGAAAUGAUAGCAUAUAUUAUCUAUCUAAUGAGACUCUAAGUAACUCAUAUUCAAAAUGAGUAUAGAGCAGACAAAUAAUAAAAAUCUAUAUUAGGAUAAAGAAUUAAAAGAAUGAAAUUUUUUUAAUAGAGAAUUAGUCUUUGACAAAAAACAUGAGAUUUUUUUAAUAGAGAAUUAGUCUUUGACAAAAAACAAUACCUUAAGUGAAAGGAAUUUAGAUCUAUUGCAAAUAGAUGUAGGCAAUCAGAAACCUAAAAUUAGAACCUUAAUUAAUUUUUGAAAAUACCGUUCACGGUUAUUGUUCAUGCGCAUAAAAAUAUUACUUUUAAAAAAAAUGAAUUGCAGAAAAUAAAUAACACAUAGAUUUUUACAUGGUUCAGAUUAAUCAAUCCUACAUCCACAAGGUCAUGCCCAGAUGAAAAGUAAUUCACUAAGUUGAGAUGUUACAAUAUAUGGAUUUAUCAAACUUAAGAUUCUCACUUACAGUUUAUCACCAUACAAUUUACUCAACCUUAGACUGAAUCUUUGAAUAAUUGCUACCCCUCUUGAUCCAUGAUCAUCAAGGCACUUCGCAAAGUGAUCAAUAACAAUUGUUCAAUUCUUCAAUGUCUAGUGAUCCAAGAUCCACAUAAACUCUCCAAAAAGAAAAACAAAUCAACACAACAUCGUGUGCCAAAUCUGGAUUCUCUAGGGAGGAGGCCGAAUUUUUCUUUUCUACUUUAUGCUCUGUGUUGUGUGCCUUCAAUUGUGAAAUACCUCUCUUUAUAUAGGCUCUAGGGUUUCACAAAAAUAGCAAGUCUUAAAAAACUUGAAUUCUUUCCAAAUAAGAAUUUCUUUCCUCUUAUAAUCCCUAUGAAUCUGAAUAGGAAUAAAUCUGAUAUUCUUUCCUUACUUGUCUCCCAAUAAAUAUCUAGAACAUUUAAUGAACUUCCUGUUUGAACCAACUUCUUACUCUAAAUAGAUCUCAUGCGCUAAUUAUCGAACCUCAUCAUUAAUUGACUUGUUAAAUUAGACAUCUAAAUAAAUUAGAAAACAAAUAUUCCUAAUAAAUUAGAAUCUCACUAAAUUAGGGAAUUAAUAAAUUAAUCCCUAUUACAAGAUAUGAAAUAAAUAAAAUUCUAAUUUAACUAGACUUGCAAUAAGAUGUCAACUCUAUAAAUAAUAGACUUAACAUUAAGAUUAAUAAAAAGAGAUUAGAAACAUCUAUGACAUCAGUUAAUAAAUUAGCACAAGAAAUUGCUAACAUGGUCAAGAGAAAAAACAUAUUGUAUUUCAGUGCCACUAUAAGAGAAGAACCAAUUGAAAUAAGGCAUGCCAGAAGAAAUACAAAUAUACUGUGAUUGCUAAAAUCAGUUAUAGAAGACAAAUCAAUAGAAUAAGAUAUAGUAAUACAGCUAAGAUUGGAUAUAUUCAUAUACGAGGAAUUCAAAUUAUGAUAAAAGCUCAUUUUUUUUAGAAGGAAUAGAUAGCCCAGUAAAUUGUGCUAUACUAGAUGAUAGAUUAAAAGAUCGAAAAUAUGAACUCCUCAGAAUAAUACAAGGAAAUAUUAGUUAUAAAUUAAUAUUUAAGAUAUACCCCAAAUAUUCUAUAAGUCUUAGAGACAAAAAUAUAAACAAGACUUUAACUUUAAGUUGCGAUUUUAAAUACUUUGAUAUAAUACAUGAUGGAUCUUAUCCAUAUAGCAUAACAUAUGUGAUAGAAUAUGCAUUGAAAAAUUCAAUUAAUAAUGAAAUGUUUGCCGAUAAAGAAUUUAGAGAAAUAGAUGACCUUUUCGAUAACUUUGGAAAAACACUAUCUUUCAAGAUUUUGAGAGAAAUAAAUUUACCAGAAGAAUGGGAAAUGGAUUUGAGCAAUCAACCUACUUUGACUAGGGGGAGUACUCCUAAAACUAUAGAAUAUACUCCAGAGGGAAAAAUCAUUCUAGGGAAUAGAAGAUUAUUUUCUGUACCCGAAAAGGAACUAGAAUUACAUGGAAUACAAAAUUUUACUAGAUAUACACAACUAAUAAUACCACCAUCAAAUGAAAUAUUGGCAACAAUUAGAAGAAAUAAUCAAAAUUUAAAAAUCAAGAUUGAUUAUAACAAUAGGAAGUUAUGGCAUGAGACUUUUGCUAUCCCAGACAUAGGAGCUGCAAAAUCUUAUAUUGAUGCCAAAAUGAUUAAAUACUUAGAAAGAAAAAUUCUAAUAGAACCACAUUCAUAGAUAUGUGGGAUAUAAUGGAGAAAGAAAGAUGUUAAGUCAGGAUUAUAAAUACCAUUAAGGAUUAAAAGGAAUAGAGUUUAUCUUUCUUUUUUUUCAUUGAACCUAAAUAUGAAACAGUAAUAAGUCCUUGUUAUAAGGAAUGAAUUUUUUUUUAAACUUUGGCCCUUAUUUCAUAGGAGAUAGAGAAAUAUCUAUAACAAUUGAUGGAAUCAAACAAACAAUAUCAAGAUAUGUCUAAUCCUUUUAUAAUAUAUAUAUAAAAGUGAUCAUACCAUAUUAUAACAAUAAGCUAGAAUAGUUCCAUGCUUUAACUGAUUCUGGUUUAGGAAUUAGUUUAACUAGUCUUAGGAUUUAUCCAAAAUCUUAUUGUAAGUAUAAUAAGCCCUUAAUAGGACAAGGAAUAAAUGGUGAACAAAUCACCUUAGCAACAUGUAGAAUUAAACUUUGAUACAAGUUGAGAACUAUAUUCUAAGCAUACCAAUACUGUGGUCAUACGAUCAUAUGGGUGCAUAUAUACUUUAGGAGUUAAUUUCGUUCUUCAGUUCAUUUAUAUAAUAAUGAACAAAACAAUUGUUCUUCAAUUCAUUUAUAUAAUAACAAACAAAACAAUUCCUCUUAAAACGCCGUAUAACCAUUCCAUCAUUGCACAUACGAUUGUAACCCUGGUAGGUGAACAACUCAAAAAUUUCAUCUUUGAAGCAGCCAACAUGGUGAUUUCAAUUGAAAAAUUAAUUAAAUCAUAUCUUAUUACGAAAAAUUUUAGAAAAGUUAGAUAAAAAUUUGGGUUAAAACCUAGUUGAUGGGAAUUUGAUAAAACUUAUGCCAAAAUUGAAUAAAAAAAUCCAAAUGUUAUCAUAAGAGUUGAGCCUAUAAGAUAUGAGCAAGAAGAUAUAUUCGAGAUUGAUAAACAGGCUAAAGGGUUAUUGGAACUCAAGAUUAUUCAAGAAUCUAAGAGUCCACAUAGUAGCCUAACCUUUAUGGCUAGGAAUCAUGCAGAAAUUAAAGGAGGAAAAGCUCGUAUGAUUUUUAAUUAUAAAUAAUUAAAUAAGUAUACCAAAUUUAAUGGGUACUUUUUACCUCAUAAAGAUACAUUAUUUACUUCUAUAAUUAAUAAAAGAGUGAGACUAUUGACACCCCUCCAAAUACCUCUUAAAACCCUUUAAUUAUUUUACAAUUUUAACCUUUAUCGAAAUUACAUAAUAGGACAAUUUCAAAUUAAACUCCCCACUCAAAAGUCAAAAAAAAAUUUCUUUAAAAAAAUCUAACAUUUUAUAAAUUAAAAAAGUCACAUUUUUCUCUAAUUUUUGGAGUGACGAGUUUACCACCAGUGGUUGCAGCGGAUAGAAUAAAAACCCUUUUUUUAAUGGAAGAAACCCCGAUGUUCAAAUGGGGUUUAAUAAUAUAAAUAAAUAAAAUUAGAGAUUGGGGUUUACACUCAUAAACUUUAAUUAAUAGUAUUUUUUUCAUUGAUAAAGGUGUUAAAAGAAUUUUAAUAAAAUUUUAAAAUAUUUUAAUCGGGUAAUUAAGAAAAUGGGUGUCAAGAGAUAUUUAGAAGGGUGCCACUGGUCCCACUCUUAAUAAAAAGAUAUAUAACAACCUUGAUUGCAAAUCAGGUUUUUGGCAAAUCAAACUUGAAGAAGAAUGUAUACCACUUACAGUCUUUAUUAUACCUCAACGGUAGUAUGAAUGGAUUGGAUUGAAAAAUACACCGCAAAUAUUUCAAAGAAGAAUGGAUAAAAUUCUCAAAGAAUUUCAUGAAUUUUGCAUUGUUUAUAUGGAUUAUCUAUUAAUAUUUUCAAAUAAUGAAGCUGAUCAUAUUAAUUGUCUAGUUUCUUUUACAGAAAUGUGCAAGAAACAUGGAAUACUACUUUCUAGAAAAAAAGCUGAGAUAAUGAAACCAUUUUUUUAAUUACAUGAGAUUAUUUUUAAGAAUACAACUCAUAUUACAUGAGAUUAUUACUGAUAUUUACAAACAGACGAUUACUAGAUUGGUUUACAUUAAAUGUUAAGAAGUAUUGCCAAUAUUUUUACCCUCACUAAUAUUCAAGGGAUAUCUACUCCUCUCAUAUUUCAUAAAGGAGAACUCAUAUUUUGUAAAGGAGAAGAUCAUCUCCACUUAAUUAUACAUUAUAAUUGAGAAAUGAAUUACCCCUACAAUACUUUUGUGGGAAUUCAAAUUGCCCUAACCAAGGCUAAGUGGCGAGAUAAUGAAACCUAGAAUAGAGUUUCUAGGGUUAAUAAUAGAUGUAAUGGGAAUAGAGAUGCAACCUCAUACUUUUAAAAAAUAUAUUUAUUUCUAAAUAAGUUAGAAUAUGAAGUAACAGAUUCAAAUAUUUUUAGGAUGUCUUAAUUACAUUAAAGGUUUCAUAGAAAACUUAGCAAAAGAAAGACAACCCUUACAAGGAUUAUUAAAAAAGAAUAAUAGAAAGUCUUGGGAAGAUCUCCAUACCAAGAUGGUAAAGAAACUAAGAGAAAAAAUAUAAAAAUCUACCAAGAUUAGGAUUUCCUACCACUAAUGAUAAUUUAAUUCUUCAAACUAAUGCUUCGGAUAAUCCUUGAUGUGCAAUUCUAAAAACAAAUCAAGAAAAUAUUUGUGAAUGUACAAGUAGAACUUUUAAAUUCGUAGAAAAGAAUUAUCAUAGCAAUGAAAAGUAAUUAUUGGCUAUUAAAAAUGAAAUAUUUAAAUUUACUUUCUUUUUGUUACCAAAGAAUUUUAAGGUAAGAUCUGAUAACAAUGAGGUCAAAGGAUUUAUAUUUAAUAAAUUACCUAAUUUAUCUCAAUAUAAGAGAUUAAUUAGAUGGUAACGAUUUUUUGCAGAAUAUAAUUUUGAGAUUGAAUAUAUUAAAGGAUUUAACAAUUGCAUUACAAAUUCCUUUGUCGAGAAUACGAUGGAGAAGAGUCUUUGCAAAGUAAUAAACAACAUAACAAUGUGUUCUAAAGGUUAAGCAUUGCUACUUAAAGGCAAUGGAAUAACUUAUGAUGGACUUGCCAUGAUUGAUGACGCCGAAGAAUAAUUGAGUAAACUAUGUCCAGACAGAAGUUUGAAAAGUCAUUCAAAAGUUUAACCUUCAAAACAAAACAUGAGCAGUAUAUUAAAAAUGAUCCAUUUCAAGGACUAAAUGUAGGGUAGGUUACGCAAAAAUCAUCUCAGAAUUCAAAGACCACAAUCUAGAGAAGUUUUCUACAAUUAAUGAUCUCAACGAUCAAUACAUGAAGGAAGAAGGAUCCCAAGACUCUUCAUUUAGCUUGAGGCCUCAAUAUAACAAAAGCAAACGGUCCAAUUCAAUGAUUAAAUUCCAUUAAAAAGUGACUACGCUUUGAACAUAAAAGAAUUGGUAGGUUAGCCCAAGGGAUUUGUCCUAGCCAAAUUAUAAUACUAGAUCAUUCAGGGCUAUACCCAAGAAUUAACUUUGUUCAAGGAGCUGAUCCAGAAAUAAUAAACAACAUGUUUAAACAUGCUUUUAUUAACCUUAUUUAUGUUAGCGAAAAUUGUAGAAAAUUAUAUAUGCUUCUAGAAAAUAUUAAAGAAGGUGUUAUCAACCUCAAAAGAUUAAACAAAGCAAAAGAAAUUAUUUUUGUCAAAUUCCUCACUGCUUGUCCUAAGUACUGUAAUAAUAAAUGGUACUUGGCAUAACAUAUGAUUCAAGUUAGAAUCAGUAGCAAAAGGUUAAUCAAACCAUUGAUUUAACUCAAGUCUAUAAUGACUAUAAUCCUGAAUUAUUUGAGCCUAAAGCUCUUAUCUACAAAUGGGCAAUUGGGAUGAAAGUCCUCUAUAAACAACUUGAACGGAUAAGUAAAGAAAAAAAUAUGGAUUCACCAAGUCACGACAGAAAAUAUAACCUCUUUAUUAAGUAGAAAAGAAAAUAUUUUAGUCAGGCAAGCCAUCUUGAAAAAGAAGAAGGCCAUAUAUGUGAAUCUCAUGGAAUCCAGCUUGCUAACACACCAUGGGAUAUGUAAGGUGCUUAAGCAUCAAUCAUAUUGUGACUUUUACUAUAAAAAAUCAAAAGAAGAAUCUAGCGAGAAAAGACACGUCGCUAGAUGAAGAGCUUAUAAUUAGCGUGUGACAGGAAACCACUAAAAAGAUAAAAGAUGCUAGCUAGAAUUAUCAAUAAUUCAUAAAAUAAUCCAAGGGAAAUGAUAAGGCUUAUCAGAAUCCAUACCUCAACCAUGCGAAGACUGUUAACUAUCAGAAAAAGAAGACAACAACUGUCUUCAGUAAUGCAAGGAGGAAGGGUCACCUUGUCUCUAGGAAAUCUACUAGGCAACAAGUGUUAUGUAAAAAGAGAUAAGCUUAUCUCUAAAAUCUACAUGUGUCAUGUAAGAAGGGAUUAUCUUAUUGUUUAAGUCUAUAAAUAGAUUCAUGUAAGAUAGUAGAGGUAUCACUCACAAAUAUACUCUUAUUCUCAUCUGUAUUUUCUCUUUAAAUUCAAAAAUGAAAUAAACAAAACUCUUUUUGAGUGAAAUUAUCAUCUUUAUAUAUAUCUUAUUUAGACUUGAGAAAAAAAUUAAUCAAGAAUCUUACAUGCCAACACUUGUGUUAAAUGAAGAAGAUUUCAUGGUAUUAAGCACUUUUCCAAAGACAAUUGCAAGGGAUUCACUUAGAAAAAUCUUAUUGGGCUAGUCUGUAGUGUGUUGUAUUAGGCAGUGUGGAAUAGUUACGAGAGUGAUCUUGCAUGAUGCGUGCAGCUAGAGCGAUGCUGACCAUGGGCCAAUCUAUGGUCUUAGGGAAUUGGCAAAUAUAUUCCAGAAUUUUGAGGAAUAGUACAUUGGUUAGUACACUGAAUUGUCUUAUUAUUAUAUUUUGCACAAACAGAAGCAUGUUAGACCUUGAUUAUCUUUUGGAUCUUAUAAGUGUAACUCAAUUUUCAUCAAAAAUUGAAAGAUCAAUCGACAAACUUCUAGAUGCCAUAGAUAAUCUAGACUUUAGUCAGGAAUAUCAAGUUAUUUAUACAACGGAAAUUGUUAAAACUCAAUUUAUUGCAAGUAAACGCUUGUAUAAAGAUAUAAAGAGAAUAAACUUCCAAGAUAACAAUGAAAUAUAUGAGACCUUUGAGGAAGAAAAUAGAAUAGCAUUAAUAGUCUAUUUAACCAGUCUUGAAAUAAUUCAAGAAAGAUGCAAAACAAAUAACGGAGCUCUAAACCGUCCAUAAUAAGUCUAUUGAUGGAUAAUAACAAUAAUAAUGAUGUGAACUUUUGAUUCAGAAUGCUAAAUUUAGAUUAUAAUAUCAAUGUGAAAGUAUUGAUGGCAUGUACCUUGGUUGGGAAAAUAGAUUGGACACAUAUAUAGAUAUGUUGGAAGAAAAAAUCUGGUUUAUGUCUCAAGAGAAACAAGAAAUUAUAAAUGCCAGUGCUAUAAUAUAUUAAGAUUUUUAUAUAUCUUUAUGAAUUUGAUAAUCAUUUAGAUCUUUAUAACAUUAUAAUUAAAACUUCAAAAAGCUUUAAAAAUAAAUGUAGAAGAGAUAGAAAAAAAAAAUCGACUAGUUGUUCAAAACCAAUUAAACAAAAAUAAAAGGUAAAAUCCUUGAAUUAUAUAAAUUAUACAAUUUCACAAAAAUUUGGCAUAUAUUGCAAAAAGGUCCUUUUGUUGCUGAGUAUGGUACUCAGUGCGGUAUAAAUGCUAAUUUUGUUGUUUCUUUUGUAAAUAAAUUACUGCAUCUUAAUUUUUUUACAUGUUACGAAUUUUGUGUUUUAAAAUAUGCAAUUUUGUUUCGUAUUUUGGGUUAAUUUUAUAAUUUCGUACUUUGAUCGACUAUAUGCACACGUCCUUAACAUGUUGAUUGAUGUUGAAUAUUCAAAGAUCUACAAACUACCAACGACAACGAAUGAAUUAAACUAAUUAGUUAAUACAUAAUUACUGGGUUGUUUCCACUACUUGUUAAUGAUGUAGGAUGUUAUUUUAGGAUUUUAAGAUUUUAUUACUUUAGUUAUUUGAUAUUUCUUUUUUUAAUUAAACUUUGUGUCUUAAUUUUUUAUUUCUAUUAUAAUCAUGAUUUAGUUUCUCUUUUUAAGUUAGGUUAGGUUAGUAGAUUACUCUAUUAGAAAUAAAGAGGUCUUGUUAUUAUUUUUAUAAAUUCAACUUCAGUUAUUCAAUUAAAAACCCCUCUUUCAUAAUUCCUUUUGAUUUUAUCAAUCAAAAUUCUCUCUUGUAGAGUUGUUUAAAUUAGAUCAUCUUACCUUACUUAACGCAACAUUAAAAAACUCAUUGAGUCGUUUGAAAUAGAACGAGAUCUAAUUACAUUUCGAUUAGAACGUAACUUAGUCAUGUUGGCUUGGUUCAGUACUUAAACGGUAUCUAGUGUUUCUCUUCUGCUACAUUGCUCUUUCGGUUAACAUUCCUAGGAGAAAAUUAAUUUCACCCUGAGAUAAGAGCAUUAAAAGGAAUUCAUAAGAACCUAAAAUUUAAAGCUAUGUUAAAUAUAUCGCUAGCUACUUACUUUUGGAAAAUUAAAACGAUUAAUUAACUACGAAGUGAAAAUAAAUAAAUAAAUGAAUAUGAAGUUGAAAAUAAGUCUCGCCGCCUGAACCCAAGGCCAAAACAUUCAUGAUAAGUUAGGUAAUUAAGUACAUGUUUUCAAGCUCUUCAUGAAGAAUAAUGUUAUUGAAAUAAAUCACAAAGACUCCCUGCGCAAAUUAUUACAUUGAUUUAAAAAACAAAUGCCAUAUCUUUAACAGGAUCGUGACUCAGUGACUGUUAAUUACUUUAUUCCCUGCUUGGCCAACAGCUGGUCACUAAACAAAAUCAUAAAAAUUUUAUAUUUAGUCAAAUUGGUCCCACUUGAUGACAUCCUUUUCAUACAUAAAAUUGUUUAACGUCAAGGUUAAAUAUGACAAGUUUGGUAGAGAAGGUAAAAAGGAAGUCUAUAUAAGGAGGGGAACGAGCUUUGUUUAUAGCACAAGUGAAACUCCACUUUAUUGAACGAUGGGGUCUCAAAUGGGCCACCUCUUUGCCACUCUUUUGGUAAUAUCAGUCUCUCUUAGCUACUUGCCGUUAGAAGCCUCAGCAAACAAUUACUACUAUACAGCUCCUCCCCCACCAAAGAAAUAUCCACCACCACCACCCCCGCCACCGGCUCACAAGUCUCCACCACCACCCCCGGUUUACAACUCCCCGCCACCUCCUCCACCAGUCUACGAGCCUGCUCCUGCACCAACUCCAAUUUCCUAUUCCCCGCCACCUCCUGUCUACAAGUCCCCACCACCACCGCCACCUGUGCACAAACCACCACCUCACCCUUACGUCUAUGCAUCUCCCCCUCCUCCUUACUACUAGUAGAUGCGGCCAUGAAUAGCUCAUGCUUUUAUGGUAAUCUCAUUUAUUUUUAAAACUGUACAUGUAAAAGACUAGUAGUUCAGAAUUACAUUAAGCAUUUCAAUUUUAAGUACCGUGUUCUGUUUAAUUGUGUUCCUAGUGAUUAAGUGACAAAUAAAAGAGCCUAAUUAAUUUUUUCUUGUAGGAGAGGCGACUGGUAUCCGAAUAAAGAAAGGUUUGAUGAAAAGAUUACUGAGAGCAAGAUAGCGAUCGAUCGAGUUGCCGCGUUUGAUUCUUUUUUAUUUUUAUUUUUUUUUAUGAAGAAUAAACAGCCACAUGUAGAAACAGAAAAGUUCUUGUCAUUUUCAUGCUUGUGGAUCGUUGCUGUGUGUCUCAAUUGAAUCUCUGGUGUGCCUUUUGUAAUUUUCAACUUUCAUGCAUGCAAAUGCGAGAACCUUUUAGUAUAAUAAACUUAAUAUACUUCCCAAGAUGGCCUUAUCUUGCGUUGAACUUUAUGUUCCUUUGGUGAUGAUUGUGACGUUUAAAAUUGAUGACUAUUGUUUUUGUAAACUCUGCAUGGAUUUUUCGUGCAACUAUAGAGCGCAUUGACUAGAGUCUUAUCCAUGAGGGUCCAUGCAGAUCAGUGUCUAUUAACCAAUAAUUAAUAUAACUUAAAAAACAUAGUUAAUGAGUCAGGCUCGAGUGCAAAUAUUCGUACAAAAUUUCGUGCUAAUGUGUACUUGAGUAUGAUUAUAAGUUUUAAUCAUUAUUAAUAAUUCACACGAUAAUAUUAAAAAAAAAUUCACAUCAAUUAAGUUAUAAUAUUGAUUACCUUAUAUAUUUACUGAUUUUAUAUUUAAAUUAAAUAAUGAUAGUUUUGGUUUUAUAUAAUGCAUCUGACAUUUUAUUAAGGAUAAAACUUAUUUCGAAAAUAAAAUUUUGAAAAAAUUAUUCUGUUAAUGUUUUUCAAAACAAUUGUAAGAUGAACUAAUUUUGCAUCCUUUUACACCUUCAAUACCAAUCUCGAAUGAUCUUGAGUACACGUAAGGAGAAAAGUUUAAAACUAUAUAAAGUAUGUACAUGACUCAAAAUAAGAUCUAAUUUUAUUGAUAUACCAUAUAAGUGACUAGUAAUAUAACAAAGUCUUUUAUAUUUUGUUUUGCCUUGAUCCACAUCAAGAUAAAUGAUUCACUUAAUUACUUGUGUGGCAAACAAAUACUAUUAUAGAAAAUGAAAAAAAAAAUGGUUUAUAAAUAUCCUAGAAGAAUAUAUGGUUAAACCAAUUUAAUAAAACUUAUUCCACUUGUUUUCAAUAUAUAUAUAUAUAUAUAUUGUUUUCAAUUCAUGGGUGGUUUUUCAUUUAAUUAAAGUAAAUGAAUAAAAUAUUUUUCACUAAAAUUAUGUAAAAAGCAUUCUAAUUAUUUUAAUAAUCAAUAGUCUUCUAUUAAUUUACUAGUCUUAUGUGUAAUUUAUAAAAUUUAUGUUUAUUAUGUCAUUGAUGUCAUGGUUCUGAUUCACGAGAGGUAUCAGCAAGUUAUUAAUUUGCAAGAUGAGCUGCCACCAUUAUUUAGGAGGACAGUAGCUGUGAGAAGGGAAGAAUUUAAGUUAUUAUCUGUCAUACUUGGUUACAACGACACAUUUGAAGUUAUGAAGGAUGUUCUUAGUAGAACUAUUGUUUAUUUGAGAGGCAAGCAUUGUGAUUGUAAACACAGCAAAAUGCAAAUAUUAAACCAUGGCAACUAUGCUACCAGUCAUAGCAAUUUAGAAUUCCCACAAUUCUAUUUUCUACAAAUUGAAAUAUCAAUAAAUAAAUGCCAAAAUAUUAGAGUGAAGAGAAGGAAAAUUUGAAUGCUGUCUUUUUCCAACAUAAUUAAGUAUCCAUAUGGUGUGACUCAACAGCCCCCUAAAAGAUCACCAGUGGCUGUUCCAAGCAUUGUGUUAGAAGGAUUUAUUAGAAAAAAAAAAAAAGAAAUUCAAAAAGGGCCAAAACAGGCACUUGCCAUUUCACUCUAAAAUUGCAAUGUUACUCUAUUUGAUACAAAUAAAGCAAUUUAUGGUAGGUUUACUAUAAGGAAAAUCUAUACAGAACAAAAAGACAUUCUUAACAAGCCCACUAAAAAGACUGAAUUUAACAUUUUGCUGAGUAAAAUCCCAAUGUAUCUUAAUUAAUAAAAGGGCCAUGAGAACUUUUCCGAAUUUUAUUAUUUUCAACCAUAAGCAACAAUGUUUAAAACCUGCUCAAGCACGAAUUUUUCAACUACUGUCGAUUUUGAUAAUAUUAGCUAUUUUGAGAACUAGAAUUACAAAAAAAAAUGCUGGAACUUUGUUAAAUGAAUUAUUAUAUUCCUUAUUAAAAGACAUAAUAAAACAUUACAAUCAAAGCUUAGGCAUGUGCAAGCCCGAAGGAGACAUUUCAAGGUCACAUGCAUUUGUUUUAAGAAACUUUUCAUUGUUAACUAAAAGAAACUAGAAAAUGAUGAUUUCAGAGGAUAUCGACAAUCUUCUGAAGGAACAAUAAUUUGAGAUCUUUGCAUUGUAAUUCUUAGCUAAAUAAAAUUUGCUUUCCACAUUAACUGAAUUUGGCCAGUAAUCACUUUUUUCCUUUUUCUUUUUUUAACUUCAAUAGCUAGUCAUGAGUACACUAUCAUAAAAUUAGCAAAAGUCCUCAAGAGAAACAAAAACAGGUAGAUGGAGUAUACCACACUUUCUAAGUAUCUAUCUAGUGAGCUAGUUACUUUCGUCAAAUACUUUAUGAAUCUUCACUAUACCCAAAGAAUAUAAUUGUAAAAUUUUAAUAAAAAACAAAAUGAAGAUUUUUAUGCUGCCAGCAUUAUCCUGAGAAGCAUUGCAAUCAUUUCAUAAAAAUGUUUCGAGAAAAUAAGAUUACAAGCGAGACCGAAGAAAUCUUGAAAACAUUCUAUGGGGAAAUUAAUUAUGCAGCUUUGGGAAUACGAAAUUAGAAUAAUAAUCUGAAAAUGAUCAAGCAAGAGAAGAAAUAUGAUAUCAACUUUCUUAUGUACCUGUGAACAGAGAAGACUGGGACAUGAGGAUCCUUCCAGAACAUCUUUUGAGUGCAAUUACCAUGAUGAACAUCCCAAUCAACAAUCAAAAUUCUGUUUAUUCACAGUUCUGGCUGUAAUAUACAUAACAGUAACAGAGGUUGCGGGGCCACAACUGAAUGAGAAAAACAGAUGUUUAAUUUUGGAUAGCAUAUCACUAUCUAUACAUUCAAGGAAUAACAUGGGUCCAAGAUUGAUAGAAAUAGGAAAACGAAUAAGGGAAAAAUGGAAAGAACGAAAACUGGCUUUCACUCUUUCAUUUAACUGAAAAGCAGCUGCAUUAGCAACAUUGUUGUAUAAACAAUAUUCCAUGGCUUUUUCUUGUUCAGCAUAAUGGCCAAGGGCUCAUUAUAGCAAAAGCAGAUCCAAUUCUCCUUUGGCAACACUCUCCGCAACGUCCUGAAACAAAAAGGCGAGAGGAGUUGAAAAAAAAAAAUGAAAUAGAUUCUUAAUUCCGAAUAUAGAACAACUGCAACAGCUCUACUCCGACUAGUAUAUUCUAUCAUUCGAUAAGGCAGAAAUAGCCUCAUCUAUACAAGUUUGUGAGAUUGCUAUAGAAUGGUAUGUAGCGGGCCAAAUUUAGAUUCAAACACGACACUUGAACAAAAUAAAGAAGUAGCAUGAAAGCACUGGACAGUUUCAUUUUCUGUGACUUAGAAAAAUUUUCUAAUAAAGAAUAUUUUUCGGAACUUAACCAUUCUGACCUUUGUAGGUAAAUUACUAUUUCAAAUAUUUUUGCAAAAUGUAUGGGAAGUCACUGAUAUUGCUGUAGUAAAAAAAACUUGAAAAGGAAGUCUACUUGGAAUUCAAAUUCAAAUGAAGCACAUUGCCAGGUUAGAUAUGAUUCACUUUGAAAAAUUGGUGUUCGAAAUUGCACUUAGUUUGAAGGGAAAGGAAAUGUAAAUCAAGAAAUUUAAUACGCUAUGGCUUCAACAGAUCAACUAUCGAGUCCCACGCCAGUCAAUCCUGAAUGCCUUGUAGUCGUUAGAAACUCAUCAGCUCUAUGCACAUAAAAUGAUUUUGUCCACUAGAUAAUCAGCAAACCUCUGUAUUAACACUUCAUGGAUAAUUAUCUGUAAGAUUAAAAAAAAAUUCCCCAUUCUAUCGACUAUAGAGGAUAGGAAGAUCUAUACUCAAAAUAAAGCCCAGGUAACAAGAGAAGAAAUCUCCAACAAAGAAAAGAAUAAUAAAAAACUUAAAAUUUGACGGUGUCCUCGUUUAAUCAGGGCAACUUUAAGUAUAGACGGUCAUCUAGGGCCCUAUAUAUUAGUAAGACCUCAUUGUAGUCACCUAGACCCCAUAUGUUAGGAAAACUUUUUUUUUUUUUUGGUAUUUCCUUAAUAUACUCAAAUUAAUAGAUUUUUUAAACUACUUAUAAUAAGAAGGCCUAUUUUUUAGGCCUCUAUUUAAUUAAUAAUUAUCUUACCGUUAAGAAUUUUUAAACAAAUUCUAUAUUUGAUAACCUUAAUAUUAAAGAACUAGAAUUAAUAGUAUUGUCUAACUGUUAAUUCAUUGUUAGUUUUCCAAGGAAAAAAAUUAUAUUCUUUAUCUAUUAAAAAAUUAAUUAUUUAACUUUAUAAAAUUAUUACCCUCUUCUCUCUAAAGAUAAUUAUUACAUUUUGAACUAAAAGAAUAGUUUCUAAAAAUAAUAAUUCUAAAGAAAGCAAAAAAAAAAAAAAAACUUCUUGCCUAUUUUUCUGUUUUGAAAUUUCUUAAUCUUGUUGAUUAUUGAUAUUCAACAUAUAGUUAAAGAUUUAUUAAAUUUUGAGCUCUUUUAUUUUAUUUUAUUUUUUUUUAGUGUUGAAACUAUUGAAUGUGAGGAGGCCUUCAUGAAAAAAUUUUGUUUGAAGUUCUCAAUACUCUAGAACUGGCCUGCACUUAAUAUAUAUACCUCAAUGACGGAGCUGGCAGCCAGGUAAGCAGCCUAUUAUGAAUUUUCAUUCAAAUAAAUCGAAUCCAUUUUUGAUGAGAUCUUUCUCCUUCUCGCAGCAAACUACUCAGAGCUUAUAUUUCUAGUGAACACAAUUCUCUAUGUGCAGAUGCAGUACAUAUUUGUCUUCUAUUGCUUUGCCAUUUAAAAGGACUACACCUACAACAAGAAAAAGCAACAAGACCGCAUCCAGAAAACACACUCACUUAGUCAAUUAAGUCAAAAGAAUGUCCCCUCACUAAGGCCUCGAUGAUUCAAAGAUUAACCACAGCAGUUUAUAGAAAAAUAAAUAAAUAAAAUUACACUAUCACAAAAUUUAGGUUCCCUGUGUAGUGCUAAAAAUGCACACGUGUUAGAGUAUUAUGAAAAAAAUAAAGCAUUGCUUAGUUUGGCAUUAGAUUCAAAUACAUGUGCAUAAAUCUUUGUGUUUUUAUACUAAAUAAUAAAGAGUUGGACUAUUGGCACCUCUUCAUUAAUCUUAUAAAACCCUUAUUAUAUUACAAUUACAUUUAAGGACAAAUAUAAAUAAAAUUAAACCAUUUAUAUUUUCUUUCUCUCUUUAGUUUUAUUUUACUUGCACAAUAUAAAUAUAUUUUAUUAUCAAUAAAAUAAUUUGAAUUUAAGAAGUAAUCUUCUAAGCCAAAACAAAAUUCUUGUAAUAAACAUAACAAAUUAAUUAAGAUAUAAUACAGUGGAAAAAUAAGUUAAAUAAAAUUUUAUCCCACAGCAAAAUUUUUUUUAAGGAUUCUCAAACUAAUUGCUAAACAAAAAACUUAUAGGUGGAAUAAAAUUGUAUUAGAUCCAUAAAAUAUUCAUUGUUUUCGAAGUAUAAUAUUUUUCUUACUUUUUUUAGAUUUUUUUCCUUAAAAAUUAAAUAAUAAAUAAAGUUUCAAGAGAGGAAUACAAAUAUUAAAACUGAAAGAGUGAGGAAAAUAUUAGAAAUUGAAAAAUUCAUAAAUGAAAAGUGUGUUCAUUUAGAAAAAGGGUAUUUUUGGCAUUAAAUGAAAUAUAAUUGAAAGAGUGGUUUCAAUAAGAUUUUGGAGGGGUGCUAAUAGUCCGACUCAAUAAUAAAAGCACUCUAGUUGAAGUUGAAAGGAAUUUAGACCUAUUGUAAAUAGAUGUAGGCAAUCAAAAAAAACUACUGUUCAAUGUUACUGUUCAUGGUUAUUGUUCAUCCACAUCAAGACUAUUAAUUUCCAAAAACACAAUAAAUUCCAGAAAUUAAAUGACACAGAGAUUUUUACGUGGUUCGGAUUAAUCAAUCCUACAUCCACGAGACUAUGCCCAAAUGAAAAGUAAUUCACUAAGUUGAGAUGUUAUAACCUAUGGAUUUACCAAACUUAAGAUUCUCACUUACAGUUUAUCACCAUACAAUUUACUCAACCUUAGACUGAAUCUGCUUCUCUUGAAAAAUUACUACCCCUCUUGAUCCAUGAUCCUCAAGACACUUUGCAAAGUGAUCAAUAGCAAUUCUUCAAUGUCCAGUGAUCCAGGAUCCACAUAGACUCUCCAUAAAGAUGAAAAGAAGAUAGGAAAAUAAAUCAACACAACAUUAUGCGCUAAAUUUGAAUUCUCUAGGAAGGAGAUCGAAUUUUGCUUCUUUGUUUUAUGUCAAAUUCCUCACUGCUUGUCCUAAGUACUGUAAUAAUAAAUGGCACUCAUCAUAACAUAUGAUACAAGUUAGAAUCAACAACAAAAGGGUUAAUCAAACCAUUGAUUUAAAUAGAGUCUAUAAUGACUAUAAUCCUGAAUUAUUUGACCUUAAAGCUCUUACCAGCAAAUGGGCAGUUGGGAUGAAAGUCCUCUAUAAACAACUUGAACGGAUAAGUAAAGAAUAAAAUAUGGCUUCACCAAAUAACGACAGAAAAUAUAAGCAAAAAAGCAAACAUUUUACCCAAGCAAGCCAUCUUGAAAAAGAAAAAGGCAAUAUAUGAGAAUCUUGUGGAAUCCAACUUGCUAACACACCAUGGGAUAUGCAAGGUGCUUAAGCAUUGUGGCUUUUGUUAUAAAAAAUCAAAAGAAGAAUCUAGCGAGAAAAGAUAUGUCACUAGAUGAAGAGCUUAUAAUUAGUAUGUGACAUGAGACCACUAAAAAGAUAAAAGAUGCUAGCUAAAAGCAUCAAUAAUUCAUAGAGAAUCCAAGGGAAAUGAUAAGGCUUAUUAGAAUCCUUACCUCAACCAUAUGAAGAUUGUUAACCAUGAAAAAAAAAGACAAUAGUUGUCUUCAAUAAUGCAAAGGGAAGGGCCAGCUUGUCUCUAGGAAGUCUACCAUGUAGCAAGUGCUAUGUAAAAAGAGAUAAUCUCAUCUCUAAAAUCUAUAUGUGUCAUGUAAGAAGGGAUUAUGUUAUCUGUUCAAGUCUAUAAAUAGGGUCAUGUAAGAUAGGAGAUAUAUCACUCACGAAUAUACUCUUAUUCUCAUAUGUAUUCUCUCUUUAAAUUCAUAAAUAAAUUGAAUAAAAACUCUUUUUGAGUGAAAUUAUCAUCUUUAUAUAUAUCUUAUUUAGACUUGAGAAAAAAAAUCAAGAAUCUUACAUGCCAAUACUUGUGUUAAAUGAAAAAGAUUUCAUGUUAUUAAGCACUCUUCUAAAGGCAAUUGCAAGGGAUUCACAUAGAUAGAUGUUAUUAGGCAAGUCUGUAGUGUGUUGCAUUAGGCUGUGUGGAACAGUUGCAUGAGUGAUCUUGCAUGAUGCGUGCAGCUAGAGCAGUGUUGACCAUGGGCCAAUCUAUGGUCUCGGGGAAUUAGCGAAUUUAUUCCCGAAUUUUGAGGAAUAGUACAUUGGCUAGUACACAGAAUUAUCUUAUUAUAUUUUUCACAAACAGAAUCAUGUUAGACCUAGAUUAUCUUUUAAAUCUUACAAGAUAUAAAGUGAUAAGUGUAACUUAAUUUUCAUAAAACAUUGAACGAUAAGUCAACGAACUUCUAGAUGCCACAGGUGAUCUAGACUUUAGUUAGGAAUUUAAGUUAUUUAUGCAAUGAAAAUUGUUAAAACUCGAUUAAUUACAAGCAAACGCUUGUAUAAAGACAUAAAGAGAAUAAACUUUGAAGAUAACAAUGAAAUAUAUGAGACCUUUUAGGAAGAAAAUAGAAUAACAUUAAUAAAAUCUAUUUAACCAAUCUUGAAAUAAUUUAAGACUGAUGCAAAACAAAUAACAAUAAGUCUAUUGAUGGAUAAUAACAAUAAUAAUGAUGUGAACUUUUUGAUUCGGAAUGUUGAAUUUAGAUUACAAUAUCAAUGUGAAAGGAUUGAUGGCAUGUACCUUGGUUGGGAAAAUAGAUUGGACACAUAUAUAGAUUUGCUGGAAGAAAAAAUCUAGUUUAUGUCUCAAGAGAGACAAGAAAUUAUGAGUGCCGGUGCCAUGUAUAUUAAGAUUUUUAUGAAUUUGAUAAUCAUUUAGAUCUUUAUAACAUUAUAAUUAAAACUUCAAAAAGCUUUAAAAAUAGAUGUAGAAGAGAUUGGAAAAAAAAUCGUCUAGUUGUUCAAAACCAAUUAGACAAAAAUAAAAGAUGAAAUCCUUGAAUUAUAUAAAUUAUAUAAUUUCACAAAACUUUGGCAUAUAUUACAAAAAAGUCCUUCUGGUGCUGAGUAUGGGUACUCAGUGCGGUAUAAAUGCUGAUUUUGCUUUUUCUUUUGGAAAUAAAUUACUGCAUCUUAUUUCAUGCUUUGUUCAACUAUAUGCACAGGUCCUUAGCAUGUUGAUUGAUGUUGAAUAUAUGUUAAAAGAUCCACAAACUACCAACGACAACAAAUGAAAUUAAACUAAUUAAUUAAUACAUAAUGACUUAGUUGUUUCCACUACUCGUUAUUUUAGGAUUUUAAGAUUUUAUUACUUUAUCUAUUUGAUAUUUCUUUUUUAAAUUAAGGUGUGUGUCUUAAUUUUUUAUUUCUAUUAUAAUUAUGAUGUAGUUUCCCUUUUAAGUUAACUUAGCUUAGUAGAUUUACUCUAUUAUAAAUAGAGAGGUCUUGUUAUUCUUUUUAUAACUUCAACUUCAAUUAUUCAAUUAAAAACCUCUAUUUCAUAAUUUCGUUUGAUAUUAUCUAUUAAAAAUCUCUCUUGUAGAGUUGUUUAGAUUAGAACAUCAUCUAACCUUGCUUAAUGCAAUAUUAAAAAUCUCAUUGAGUUAUUUGAAUUAGAACGAGAUCUAAUCACACUUCGAUUAGAACGUAACUUACUCGUGUUGGCUUGGUUCAGUACUUAAACAAUAUGUAGUGUUUCUCUUCCGCUACGUUGCUCCGUCGGUUAACAUUCCUGGGAGAAAAUUAAUUUCACAGUGAGAUAAAAGCAUUAAAAGGAGUUCAUAAGAAAGUAAAAUUAAAGCUAUGUUAAAUAUAUCGCUGGCUACUUAUUUUUGGGGAAAUUAAAACGAUUAAUUAACUCCGAAGUGAAAAUAAAUAAAUAAAUGAAUAUGAAGUUGAAAAUAAGUCUCGCCGCCUGGACCCAAGGCCAAAACAUUCAUGAUAAGUUAGGUAAUUAAAUACAUGUUUUCAAGCUCUUCAUGAAGAAUGAUGAUAUUGAAGUAAAUCUCAGAGACUUCCUGUUCAAAUCAUUACAUUGAUACAAAAAAUGCCAUAUCAUUAAAAGGAUCGUGACUUUUAAUUACUUUAUUCCCUGCUUAGGCAACAGCUAGCCACUAAACAAAAUCAUAAAAUUUUAUAUUUAGUCAAAUUUGUGCCAACUUGAUGACACCGUUUUCAAACAUAACCAGAAUCAUUUAGUUACUAAUGUUUAACAUCAAGGUUAUAUAUGACAAGUUUGGCAGAGCAGGUAAAAAGCCGAGUCUAUAUAAGGAGGGGAAGGAGCUUGGUUUAUAACACAAGCGAAACUCCACUUUUUAUUGAACGAUGGGGUCUCAAACGGGCUAUCUCUUUGCCACGCUUUUGGUAAUAUCAGUCUCUCUUAGCCACUUGCCAUUAGAAGCCUCCGCAAACAAUUACUACUACACAUCUCCUCCCCCACCAAAGAAAUAUCCACCACCACCACCUCCCCCUCCCCAGUACAAAUCUCCACCACCUCCACCACCGGUUCACAAGUCUCCACCACCUCCUCCACCCGCCUGCGAGCCUGCUCCGCCACCAACUCCAAUUUUCCAUCAUCCGCCACCUCCUGUCCCCAAGUUCCCACCACCACCGCCUCACCCUUACGUCUAUGCAUCUCCCCCUCCUCCUUACUACUAGUAGAAAGCGGCCGUGAAUAGCUCAUGCUUUUAUGGUAAUCUCAUUUAUUUUUAAAACUGUACAUGACUAGUAUUUCAGAAUUACAUUAAGCAUUUCAAUUUUAAGCACCGUGUUCUGUUUAAUUGUGUUCCUAGUGAUUAAGUGACAAAUAAAAGAGACUGAUUAAUUUUUUCUUGUAGGAGAGGCGAAUGGUAUCCGAAUAAAGAAAUGGUUUGAUGAAAAGCGUACUGAGAGCAAGAAUGCAAGAUAGCGGUCGAUCGAGUUGUCGCGUUUGAUUCUUUUUUAUCUUUUUUUUUUUUGAAGAAUAAACAGCCACAUGUAGAAGCAGAAAAGUUCUUGUCAUUUUCAUGCUUGUGGAUUGUUGCUGCGUGUGUCAAUCAAAUCUCUGGUGUGUCUUUUGUAAUUUUCAAUUUUCA
rnacentral:lncRNA from 1 species